UACGGAGGGUGCAAGCGUUAAUCGGAUUUAUUGGGCGUAAAGAGGGCGCAGGCGGAGAUAUAAGCCAGACGUGAAAUCCCGAAGCUCAACUUCGGAACUGCGUUUGGAACUGUAUCCCUUGAGGAUAAGCGGAGAAAACGGAAUUCCACGUGUAGCGGUGAAAUGCGUAGAUAUGUGGAAGAACACCCGUGGCGAAGGCGGUUUUCUAGCUUAUUCCUGACGCUCAGGCCCGAAAGCGAGGGGAGCAAACAGG
rnacentral:rRNA from 1 species